rnacentral:sRNA from 1 species
GGGUUUAACUCCUGCUUAUUACCUUUAUGCUCAAAUUACUUUGAGCGCGUUUGGUGUCUGAUUCUCAAGGAACCGGGAGCACCAUCUACGUAGGCUUAACUAUUAAGGCAUGCCACCUACGGUCUUGGACGGCCCCCGCUAAGCAGGGACCCCAAAUUGUUAAAUCACUUAUCGGACAAAGA